rnacentral:lncRNA from 1 species
CAGAACCAGAGUAUUCUUGGCCCUUUGAACAAACUAGAUGCUUCUAGCAUGAUAUGAAAGAACAUCAAGCUCCAGAGGACGUAAGAAUUGGCCUCCAAGUUGUAUAAUAUAAAGCUGCCCUAGUGACAGAGGACCCACUAACUGGUCAGUCCACUUGAGGAUCUUUGUUAGGGCUCUGUAUUGACAAUCUAGGAACUAAAUACCCUGAAAGUCCCAAGAAAUAUAGAAUUACCUCAACGUUUUGGAGCUUACCUCUCCAGCCUAAGUGGCACUUUUACACAUGAAUUUCCUAAGGAGGAAUUUGGAUUCCCAAAAACAUUAUCCUUAAAAGUGCAAACUCACCUUUCUAGGCCUCUAAGGAUGCUGUACAGUAAGUGGCCCAGGAUGGUCUAAAUGAGUUGGUUACACAAGACCAGGUUGUUGGAUGUUGCCUAGAUAUACAGUAAACUCUUCCAUCCAAAAGAUCUCAAGAGGUGCCACAUAAACACUGGGAGACUGGCUGGAAAUUACAGAAUCUGAGAGGGUUUUGCCAGUAACUUCUAUACCCAUGGCACAUUUGGCAAAAGAUUUUUCAUUCAUUUUUUUUUUUUUGGAAUUAUUGGUGUGCAAAAGUGAAAGGUGGUGGGAAUCUGGGCACUUUAGGUUGUUCAAGACCAAAGGAAUCAAUGGUCACAGAUAUUCACACUGCAUUUGAGAGCACAGAAACCUAGAAACACAAAGUUUGGAGUUUGGUUGUCAUUUGUUCGCAAGUACGGCAGAGCCUUCCAGGCCAGAAGAAACAGAUUAACUUAGCUGUCUCUGCAUAAUCAAUGGAUAUGCAGUGUGGGUCUGACAAGGUGAAGAGACAUCCUAUUGCCUCAGUCAUGGUGAGGGUGUAAUUCCUGUUUUUCCCAUUCAAAUAUAAAUUGGUUGUAUAUUUUGAAAGGCAGCUUGCAGAUCUUCAGUAGACACGGCAGAGUUGAACCUGAAAGGGGUUAAAUGUUAGAAGACAAAAGAGAUCUGAGGUCCCAGGAAAAGCUAAGUAGGAAACAGAGGGGCUCAGAUUUCAAAGUUUAGAAAUGGGAUGUUGGAUAUUGGCAGACAAUUUCAUGUCUCUGAACAGCUUUGCUGCCGUUUGGCCAGUUUUUAUUGAUCCGGCUGCCUGGGCUGACUCUCAGUAGUAACCUAACAAUACUGUGUGGUUUUUAACAGAUAAUGUAUAUUUGGGAACCAGACAGAAUAAAGAUGCAAUCAUGUAAUAAAAUGGCCCAGGAAAUUCCUUAAGGAAGUUUUCUCUGGCCCUCCCACUCCCCCUUGAGGUGACAUCGUCCUGUUAUCUGCUGCCUGCUGUACCCUGCCUGUUCCAUUUCAUAGCACUCUUGUUAAGUUCUGUCUUAUGUCAGGUUUUGCUGUUAUUCUACAACAGGAAUACAAGCAGGUGCCCUAUCCCUAAAACCCUGCACAAUGCCAUGGCUUAAUUGCAAGUAUUAAGUAAUUACAAAAAAAAAUUCAGGAUGGAGAAGCCAUCAAAAUUAUUACAAUCUCAAAAUUCCUUAAGAAGCGGAGUUUUCUGCUCUCCACUCCCAGAUGAUAAUGUCCUGUCUCUUUUGACUAAAUAUUCACCCAUUCUCUUCCUCUAAUCAAGUAGCUUUUGAUAAUACUAACAGAGCUACCUAUGAGCAGGUAAAAAAUAGUUAUAGGAGAAUCCUGGUCACCUAGAGUGCCUAUGAAAAGUGAUGUUUUAAUUAAUUAAAUUCUAUGGCCAUUUAUAUUCUGACUCUUGCUUUUGAACAUCUUUUUAAUAUGUGUGUGUACACUUUCCUUGCUUGGUGAGUACAUCAUUUAAACUUUCUUUGGUAUUUGAAAAAGGCCUUGCAGUUAUCCUUUGAUCACAUUUGCAAAUUUUCACCAUUACUAUUUAAUCAAUAAAUGAAUUCAUUGCUUGAGCACCUGCUCAGUGCAUUUCACAUUGGACUAGUUGCUAUGGGGACAGAGAGGAAGUAAGGUAUCAAGGAGAUGGGGUGGCUGAGCCUGAGGAACUGUGUGGGCAUACAAUACGAGAUAGUGCUGUGGGGCAGAGAUGGGUGGUUUGGGCCAUUAGUGCUGUAGAGCUUUAGGCUUCUGAUUCAGACAGGAAAUAUGUCAAAUGUGUUCUGAUGCAAGACAGAACAUUGCCGUCUUUUCUAAAGAUUGAUACUUAGUUUUAAUUUUUCUCAUUUUUUUAGGAGGGAAUUAAAAUUUAGAGCCCUGAUUAACUGAAGGUUCCAGCUAUUUAGAUUUUCAAUACAUAUGGUCCACCUUUUCUAGGCAUAGUGUAUUUUGCGAGAUGGUCUUAAAAUGCAUCAGCAUAAAGCAAAAUCCAGGCUGUGUCUCCAAUAGUACAUAUAAUUAGUUGCAUUGUUCUUAGCUAUUAGAAGAAACUUUUAAAUGUGUGCGUAAAGACUGGAAGAACAGAAGUGUCAGUAUUAAUUUACUAAAUGAGUAGAGUGAGGACAUCACAAUGGUGAAAUUCAGGGACAACCUGUAGGAAACAAUAGUGCUUUGUGUGUGUGCAGGGAGCAGUGCAGAAUGGCCAGAGGAGCAAGUGCAGUAGCAGGACAAAGCUUCCCCAGGGAGACGCACCCUGAGCUGAGUUCGAGAGUUGACCAAGAGAAGGGACAGCAUUGGGAGAAAGUUACCUGAAUGUCACAGAAGUAAACAGAAAGAGAGAGAGCACAUACGAUGUUUUGGGCAAUGCAGGGGAGACACCCAUUCAUCCUCUCCUUCAGUGAAUACAUACUGAACUCUUACACUGUGCCUGGUAUUGCUGUAAGCCUCGGGGAUAUGGCAGGGAACCAAACAAAAAGAUCUGCUCUCAUGGAGCUUUCGUUCUAAUGGAGAGAGACAAGACAUUUGACAAAUUAAAGAAACAGAAUGUAUAGCACACCAGACAGCACUAAGUAUCUAGCACCUUCUGUAGAGAGAAAGAAACCCAGAUGGGUAGUCAAGAAUACUGGAGAAGGAGGUAUGAUCUUAAGUAGGAUAAUUAGGAAGGUCUCACUGAGAAGGUGCUGAGCCAAUUCCCAGGGCCUCAGGGAGGGAAAUAUGAACAAUAUAUCAUCUGCCUCAAUGAUAUAUAACUUUCUAGGAGGAUAUUGACAUUGUAAUCCAAUAAAUUCUAUAAUUUUAAAAUCUAAGAUGUGCUAAUUAUUUAAUAAAUAUUUUUCAACAAGUGUGUGGAAAGUACCAUUCAAAGUAUGAAAACAUUAGGAAACUAAAGGACAAAAGUUCUUGUCCUCAUAAGUCUUAUAUUUUGGAGGAGGACAGACAAAAUAAAAAAAAACAUGGUUAUACAUAAUUAUCUAGUGUGUUCAAAGGUGGUAAGUGCUAUGGGGAAAAGUGGAGCAGGGUUGGGGGAAGACAGAGUUGCCAUUUCAAGUAGAUUAGAUGGGGUAAGCCUCAUGAAAAAAGACCAGUGUUUGAGCCAAGCCCUCAAGACAGUAAGAGAGUUAGCCUUGUGGAUAACUGGAGAAAGGGUAGAGAGAUGAGAGGCUAUGAAGCAAUGUGAGAAAUUUUUAAUGCAUAGCAGGAUCGAAGGACUGGUAGUGGCAGAUUGUUGGUAUCUGGAGCCCAGGCAGAGUGAAUCAGCUUGUAAGACAAGAGGUGGUGGUCAGACAGGGUGAUAUGUGAAACUGGAAUUGUAGAGAAGUUGCAGUUACUGGUAAUUACAAGGUCUAAAUUUCUUAACAUGGAAGCAAAGUAGCUAAAUCAAGGUGGAGGACAAAAUAAUUAGAGGAGAAGAGAAUAAGGAGCUGAUGCAUCUUGUAUUGCAAAGAUGAUGUGUGUAUAUACAAAAAUUGUCAGGAAUUGACAUAGGAGUAUUGUUGGAGAAAAUUAUAUCAAGCAAGGAGGCAACAUUUUCUAAAAACGAGAAAGCAUCUCCCUGUGGUUGGUAAAUGUCAGUGAAUGCCUGCAACAAUUCAGGAUGGUGGGUGACAUAAUGUAAGUUACAAGUGUCAAAGCUGGGGGUGGGAUGAUUAGGGGAUGAGAGAGGGAGAAGUGCCUGUGAGUAGCAGUGAGGACUCAGGAAGACACUUAUACAUCUCCAAGCUCAAGGCUGUUAGGAUUCUGGGAGAAACAUCAGCGAUUACUCAUGAGGUCAGGGGAAGACAAGUUCUCAGGGGAGAGCCAGGUUUCUGUUCAAGCAAGACAAGAGAACAUUCAGAUAAGGGACUGGGAUAUGGGCAGUCCUUCUGGAAAUGGACUAUGAAUUUCAGAGGGCACAGGGGAUGGGUUUCUGGAGUUGUAAAGGAAUAGGAGAUAAGGAGAAAAGAGGGCUGUGCAGAGCCUUCUAGGGAUUAGAAUGUGUUGGGGGAAUAAGGGUGCAUCUGGGAGUCUUGGGCUUCUUGUAGAAACUGGUGCAAUAAACAGGGAUAAGUGAGAUUAGUCUUUGGGAUCUCAAGGUAGAUAGUGGUGAUGAUACUGUCAGUGGCUGAGGGGCAAGGGGAGGUUCUGAGACUUGCUCUUAAUUCUUAGGGAAGGAAGAGACAAGGUCUGAGGAAGCCUGACUUAGUUCUGAAGUGAGGCGUUGACUCUACCCCGUUUCCUGCCAAAAGCAACGUGGACUUUCUCUGGGUGUCUUAAGACACUCUUGACUCCAGAUGAUUAAAGUGAUUGCCUGAGAAGUAUAUAACACCUGACGAUUAUACCUGAAGGGGGCUCCACAGGCAGAGAGGAGGCAUGUACAUUGACCAUGACAUAGGACUUUAGGAGAAAAGCAAAGGAGAGCACCUUGGAGUUAAUGGCAGGUAGAUUUGUUAGAACUUUAUGCUAUGGUCUAAAUGUUUUUGCUUCUCCAAAAUUCAUGUGUUGAAAUCUAAUCAUCAAUGUAAUGGCAUUAAAGGUGGGGCCUUUGGAAAAUGACUAGGUCAUGAAGAUAGGACCCUGGUGAAUUGUAUUAGUGCACUUAUGAAAAAGGCCUGUGGGAACUCGUCUGUCCCUUCUGCCAUAUGAAGACACAGCAAGAAGGUGCCACCUAUGAGGAAGGCUCCCUCGCCAUACCACCACAUCUGUUGCUGCCUUUGUCUUGGACUUGCCGGAUUCCAAAAC